UACGUAGGCAGCGAGCGUUGUUCGGAAUUACUGGGCGUAAAGAGUGUGUAGGCGGUGCUCUAAGUUCGGUGUGAAAUCUCCUGGCUCAACUGGGAGGGUGCGCCGGAAACUGGAGUGCUUGAGCGUGGGAGAGGAAAGCGGAAUUCCUGGUGUAGCGGUGAAAUGCGCAGAUAUCAGGAAGAACACCUAUGGCGAAGGCAGAUCUCUGGGCCGUAACUGACGCUGAGGAGCGAAAGCAUGGGGAGCGAACAGG
rnacentral:rRNA from 1 species